GCCGCUGUGGCUCAAGUGGUAGAGCGCUUGCCUUGAGCUGAAGAGCUGAGCGACAGCGCCCAGGCCCAGAGUUCAAACCCCACGACUGACAAAAAAGUAAAAAAAAGAAGAAAGUCAAGCAAGAAGAAGAGGCCCUGAGUUCAAAUCCCAGUAUUGGUG
rnacentral:tRNA from 1 species